rnacentral:lncRNA from 1 species
CGGGGGUUUGAGGGUCUGGGGAGUUGUUUCUCCGAACGACGCAGAAGAGGUUUUUUUUUAGUUUUAGUUUUGGUUUUCGUUUUGGAGGAUAGGUUUAGUUUUUUUUAGGUUUUUUUUUAGUCUUAAACACGGGGGAUCAAGACGUCGUCGUUUGUCGCUGAUACGAUGGCUUCAAAACGGCGUCGUCCGAUGACCAGAUCCGAGCGGUGACCCGAUUCGGGUAGGAUCCGCGCAUUGUGGAUCGAUUGGUCUAUUUAUUCAGCAGAUCCCUUUGUGUUUCAAAU